AUGUCUGGGCUUAAGAUCAAUUUUGAGAAGAGUGAAAUAUUUAGUAUCGGGGGGGGGGGGGAUAAUGAUACUGAUUUGGUGUAUGCCAACAUGUUUGGGUGUCAAGUGGGCACACUUCCCAUGAAAUAUCUGGGAGUCCCUGUUACUUAUUCUACCCUCAAGAAUGCGGAUCUAGAUUUCCUUGACGGAAAAAUGAUCAAAAAACUUGAUGCAUGGGUAGCAUAUGCAGCAUCUUCUGGAGCUAGACUAACGUUGCUAGGGUCCAGUUUGGAUGGAAUUCCCUCUUUCCUCAUGUCAAUGUUCCUUUUUAAGAAGACCUUUAUUGAGAAGCUGGAUAAACAUCGCAGACGUUUCUUUUGGAGGAGGAAAAAUAAGAAACAUGGAUACCAUAUGGUUAAGUGGACGAGGAUAUGUCGAUUGAAAAGGAUUGGGGGAUUAGGGAUUAAAGAUCUUCAUAAACAAAAUAUUGCCCUACUUGUUAAGUGGUGGUGGAAGUUAGAAACAAGUGAUGGGCUAUGGCAGCGUAUUGUAAGAGCUAGAUACUUCAGGAACAAAACAGUGGCUACCAUUUGGAGCCGCUUUUCGGACUCUCCCUGCUGGAAAGCAAUUAUGAAGGUCAAGGAUUCUUAUAUGGCAGGAAGAAAAGUUAAAAUCGAAAGUGGAAACCUGGCUAGGGUCUGGUAUGAUCCGUGGGCUGAGAAUAUUGCGUUGAAAGAUCACUUUCCUGAUCUAUUUGGUAUUUGCCAGGAGCAGGAAUGCACGGUUGCAUCUUGGGCGACUAACAACUAUGAGCUGGGCUCUAGACGUAGACUGGUUGGGGUGUUGGGUGAGCAGUGGGCUUGGAUGGUUAUGGAGGCUAAGAAACUGUCAUUGAAUGACUCCCCAGAUAGAAUCUUGUGGGAUUUUGAUAGUAAAGGGAAGUUUACUACUAAAUCCGUAUAUGUAUGGUUGGAAAGAAAUCUUUCAGGUCCUAACUAUAGGAUGGUAUGGAAAGCACCUAUUCCGCUGAAAAUUAAGAUUUUCCUUUGGCAGCUGUUUCAGAACGCAGUUCUCACUCGUGAUAAUAUGCGCAUUAGAAACUGGCCUGAAAAUCCCGUGUGCUCCUUCUGUAAUGAAGUCGAGACAGCAAAUCAUUUGUUCUUUACCUGUUCGCUUGCUCGGUCGGUUUGGGGGGUGUUGGGCAUGACGGCCGGGGUUUCAUGUUGCCCUCGCUCUCUGUGGCAAAGCUUAACUUGGCUUUAUAAGUUCUUUCCGGAUGGGAAACAGUUUUACAUGAUGAUUAUUGCUGCAAUAUGCUGGGAUAUUUGGACCCUCCGCAAUAAAGUCACAUUUGAUAAUCAUAUUGUUCGUUCUCCUCUUGAGGUUGUUUUCACUGCAUGCUCGUUUUUGCUGUACUGGGCAGGUUUGCUAAAGGAAGAAGAAAGGGCGAAGCUCCAGGCUGGAGUGAAGAGGUUGGCUCACGCGGCUGCUGCGCUGGUGGACAGGUCCCUCCCUCGAGGUAGAUCCCUUUUGGGUGACAGAGAAGGGAUCCAGAUUGGUUAG
rnacentral:rRNA from 1 species